CUUUGAGCAGUCAAUAAUUUCGAGAAGUUGAAGCUGAUUGCAAAUAUUUUUGCGCCCCUUCGAUGACAAAGACAUUAGAGACGGACACUCAUAGAUAGACAACUCCUCAAGAAGACAGAGGGUACUACUCAUACUCUUCUUAUCUUCUUUUUCAUCAACCAAAUACUCCAAAUUCUCACAUUUUCUAAUUCUCAGCUUUUUUAAAUUAGGAGGUAAGUUAUUCUCUGCGAAAGAAACCAAGCCUCGACAAUUACCAAUUUCUAUCACUGUAAGGAAUGCGAACUCAUGUAAGACUUGUGGUAGUCGAUUGAGCCUAUCACAAGAAACUAUUUUCAGAGAUUCGACACGUGAAAUCUUGUCAGGUUGCAAUUCGGCUUCCUUGGCUUCCAAAGACUGCAGUUGAGGACAACCCCAAAGGGUAAUGAAACGAUGUCCAACUAAACUAAA
rnacentral:lncRNA from 1 species